CUCUGGUUAAUUUGGUCAGCCCAAAUACAGUUUAACAAGUUUUGAGGGGAAAUGUUUGUCAUCUGUGUAAGCUACCUGUAAGAAGAAUCAAGAUAAAGAAUUCAUGAAUGAUAAAAACACUUUGAAAAGACUGGUGGUUCCAUAAAAGCUGACUUUGUGCCUGGAACAUUGGAAGUGACCCGUCAGUGCUUACUGAAUGAAUAGGCAAAUGAACAAAACCUCCUGCAAUACAGCUUUCUUACCAUGCCUCAAGAGACUCUUCAGUCCAUCCUACUGUAGUUGCUUUUGAUUGGGUUCUCCCUGAGUACUGACCCUAGGCCCAGAUUCAGAGAUUUCUCCAAAAAAAGAGCUUCUUUCAAAGACAUCAUUCCUAUUGUCAACCCUGUUGGCAUAGACACAAAAUGUAAACGUUGGACAAAGGCAAUACUUGCUGUGACAAAGGCGAUAUUUGUUGUAACAAAACACAAAUGUCUGUCCAUCAGUGGGGAACGAGAAUGCUGGGAUUUGAAGAGGCCAAAAAAAUAAUACUGCUCUCUCUUUUGAGAAAGAGAGGGGAUUUUUUUUUUUUUUUUGAAAAGCCAUAAGCUUAGGACAGAUGAAAUUCAAAAUCCACACUAAACUUCACUGGAGAAUGUAAGCAAAAUAUGAGGCCACAGGUGAGCUUUCUAUUUCCUUCCUCCACUCUCCAAGAUGGCCCAUUGAUAUUUGGCUGUGUCCCCAAAUCUCAUCUUGAAUUGUAGUUCCUGUAAUCCCCAUGUGUCAUGGGAGGGAUCCAGUGGGAGGUAAUUGAAUCAUGGGAGCAGUUACUCCCUUGCUGUUCUGUGAUAGUGAAUGAGAUCUCAUGAGAUCUGAUGGUUUUAUAAGGGCCUUUUUCCCCUUUGCUUGGCACUUCUCCGUCCUGCCAUCAUGUGAAGAGGGAUGUGUUUGCUUCCCCUUCUGCCAUGAUUGUAAGUUUCCUGAGGCCUCCCCAACCAUGUGGAACUGUGAGUCAAUUAAACCUCUUUCUUUCAUAAGUUACCCAGUCUCAGGCAGUUCUUUAUAGCAGCGUGAGAACAGACUAAUACGCCCACCCAGGAUUCAGUCUCCCACCUGCAGAAGCAGAGGUCCCCCAGUCACUGUACUCCUGGCAUCUUUGACGGCCAGCCACUGGGACUAAAAGCUCAAAGAGGGCAGGGCCGCUUAUGCCUAGUUUCUUCUCCUAGUUUCAACAGUAAGAUAAAUCAUUCCCACCUAGGGGAGAGAAUGAAGUCUGGAAUCACUAAUAGUGUUAUACCCUGGGAAUGUAAGUUCCCUCAUGCAACAUGAGGGGGAGGAAUAAGAUUUCCACCAGAUAAAUAAAUAAAUAGUCUGUGGUGCACCCAA